GCAAAACCCGAAUUCUUAUAAUUAACCCAGGUGGAUGAAUCACUUAGUUGGCGGCCCCACCUUGGGGAAAUACCUCCCAACCGACACUUUCAAAUCGGAGCGGCUCCAAGGUCUGAAUUAACAAUUGGCCAUAUAAAAAGCAGAACAAACUGGUGUUCAAUUAUAACUUUUUUUUUGUUAUUAUUUAGUUAAUGUUAAUCGUGAAGUGAAAAAAUGUAGUUAAUGUGAAUUUUUAAUAGGGUUAUAAAUAUUAAUUCAGAGCACAGCACUGUCGAGCUAUGUUUAUAUCGGAACUACUAGUUCCGAACUAGUAUUCAACUUAGUGGUUUAACAGGUAUGGACUGUGUGGUCCCCUGAACUUGGAGAUUUUGUCAGCACUCUUGUGAACCACAAUUGGAACUGGAACUGGUUGUAAACGGAACCUGUUGCACCCAGCACUGAAACUUAAGUGUUGCAAAACGAUGGAGGUUUUCAAAAUACAUAAUUUUUUUAUUUGUACUUUUCCCACAUGAUAAUUUAAAACUUUAAAGUCCAUUAGGCUGACCUUUUAAUUGUACUUACAUGCAACUCGGCGUAAUUUUCGAACAGAGUUAAAUCAGGAAAACGGUACCAUUCCAUCGGAGAUUUAGGGCUUUGAGCUCUCUGCUUCGGACACAUCAGCCUCCUCCGCAUCCUCUGUAAUUGAAAUGAUGUUACAAAAAUAAGUGGGAAUUCCCGGAAAAAGCAGUUAGCAGUGGCUUGUCGUUCUUGGCCGACAUCACCAUGUUGUCGGAGACCUCGAUGAGAAAGGUGGCUCCCAACUGGCUGCCACAACUGACGAACUUGCCGUUCUCGUUUGUCCGGACACAGUAGAGCGGCUCAUCACACACCUUGACCGUGAGGACAGGCUCGUUUUGCUGCUGGAGCAGAUCCCACGUGUCCAUGACCCCAUCCAUCCGGGUGAUGAAGAACUGCGAGACCCUGGAUAUAAAGUUUGGCGUCUUGCCCUUGCGAUUGCAGGAGAAGAGCAUUCCCAUCUCCGUGCCGGCCAUAAACCGUGUGGGUAUAGUAGUUUCAUACUCCAGCACCGAAAUGCCGUACGAUCGCG